rnacentral:rRNA from 1 species
UACGGGGGGAGCAAGCGUUGUUCGGAUUUACUGGGCGUAAAGGGCGCGUAGGCGGCGCAACAAGUCACUUAUGAAAUCUCCGGGCUUAACCCGGAGCGGCCAAGUGAUACUGUCGUGCUAGAGUGCGGAAGGGGCUACUGGAAUUCUCGGUGUAGCGGUGAAAUGCGUAGAUAUCGAGAGGAACACCUGCGGCGAAGGCGGGUAGCUGGGCCGACACUGACGCUGAGGCGCGAAAGCCAGGGGAGCGAACGGG